ACAGCUCCGCAGACCCGGGGCGGUCCUCGCCUGCGGCCACCAAGCCAGGAGCCUCUGACACAGCAGUGGCAGAUACAGAACACACACAGUCAGCAGCAGCUCUGAAGACUCAAGGUCGCCAAGGUCUACAGCAUCAAAGAUGAUCGAGGCAGUGAAAGAUGGAAAACCAGACUGCGGCCAACAUUCUCAGUGUACUCCUCCACUGUGCACUCCAGGCCAUACCCACUGCACUCACAGCUCUCAGCCUUGUCUUUGUGAUCGACGUAUGCGCCGAAACAUGUAAGAAGCUCAUUCCCCAACUCUUAAAAGCAUUUGGCUCUGAGCAGCACAUCACAUGUAGCUCAAAAACACAAGGCCCGGCUCGAUCUGACCACCUUCAGAGAGAGGCACUCAAACAAAAGUUAAAAGAUGAAUGGACAUUUUGAUGAAGACGCAAUAGCCAGAGAGACAGCCCUCAGCUUUACCGAUGCAGACAGACGGGACCAAGUCCAGCGUGAGUUUAAGCUUCUUGUGUUUAUGUGACUGUUGUGUUGCCUGAUUGAAACAUUAACAUUAAUUCAUUUUGUA